AACCAAGGCAACAGGAUUGAAAUCCUAAGAUUCCCUGGAACUAGGGGUUCCCAACCAGGAACAGCUAAUUCUGUCACAUAGCCUUUUGAAGAAGAUGAAUUGAACACCAAGCAGCUUAUGGUGACUCAGUUCUCUGUUCUUCAAUCCUCUACAGAAAGCUAACAUCUUACCUCACUGAGAUGCACCCUCCACUGGCUAGCGGGGACAUUGAAACUUCAGUGUGGCUGUGUUGAUGCUUAGGACACACAUAAGCUAAGCACAUGGGGGGUCUAAAUAUACUACUGUUUUGGGUAUUAAAUCCAGAUAAAGAAUUGGUGAUGCUGGAAGGUCAAGCGUAAUCACUUCAGAAAGUCAGCCACAUGUAUCCUGGAGAAGCCAUACAAUUUUGGCAUCAUUCUGAGAAUGCAACUGUACAAAGUCAGUCUAAAUGGUCAUCAUGUCAAGAAAUCUCAAUUUGUGAAGAAUCAUAUUCCCAUAGAAAGGAGAACAUUUGUUUUGAGUAGGUUUUUAAAUGAAACACGCACCACAAGUAAAAUAUAAUUCACCUAAUAUAAACUCAUUUUUCAUACACACAACUUUUCAAAAACAAGCUUAUGGCUUAAGCAAGUCAAACUCAGAUCGUAGAAAUACUUUUCCCUUGACAAAGUCCCUGAGACAAAAAUAGAUACCCAGCCAACAAAAACUAUUCAUCUUUCCAUUUAAAAGAAGAAAUCCAACCACAGUAUAAAUGAAUCAUCCGGCAACAAAUCUACUAUUAGUGAAACAAGACUACAGUUUAAUAGCUGCUGCUAUGUUUUAGACCCCAGCUGAUUUAGUUCAGCGAUAUACAUCUGACAAGAUACUCUGGACCAUGGACUGGCUGUCUCGCCACAGCAAACUUAACACAUGAUUAUGCUGGUUAGAGUAAUUUGAAGUUUCAGAAGAAUUCUGAAAAAUAACCAAGCACAGAAACCAAUAUCUCUUUACUCUGAAAACUCUAACAAAGAGCAAACUUGGAAAGUCAACUGUAAAGGAAGUUUUAAAACUACUUCUGUGGGAAGCUGUUCAAUAAAUGGAAUUGAUACAA